rnacentral:rRNA from 1 species
AGUCGACGAACACUUAAGAUUGAUUCUUCGGAUGACGUCUUUUGUGACUUAGUGGCGGACGGGUGAGUAACGCGUGGGUAACCCGCCUCACACAGGGGGAUAACAGUUAGAAAUGACUGCUAAUACCGCAUAACCCGAUAGGAUCGCAUGAUCCAGACGGAAAAGAUUUAUCGGUGUGAGAUGGACCCGCGUCUGAUUAGCUAGUUGGUGAGGUAACGGCCCACCAAGGCAACGAUCAGUAGCCGGCCUGAGAGGGUGAACGGCCACAUUGGGACUGAGACACGGCCCAAACUCCUACGGGAGGCAGCAGUGGGGAAUAUUGCACAAUGGGGGAAACCCUGAUGCAGCGACGCCGCGUGAGUGAAGAAGUAUUUCGGUAUGUAAAGCUCUAUCAGCAGGGAAGAAAAUGACGGUACCUGACUAAGAAGCCCCGGCUAACUACGUGCCAGCAGCCGCGGUAAUACGUAGGGGGCAAGCGUUAUCCGGAUUUACUGGGUGUAAAGGGAGCGUAGACGGUCAAGCAAGUCAGAAGUGAAAGGCUGGGGCUCAACCCCGGGACUGCUUUUGAAACUGUUUGACUGAAGUGCUGGAGAGGUAAGCGGAAUUCCUAGUGUAGCGGUGAAAUGCGUAGAUAUUAGGAGGAACACCAGUGGCGAAGGCGGCUUACUGGACAGUAACUGACGUUGAGGCUCGAAAGCGUGGGGAGCAAACAGGAUUAGAUACCCUGGUAGUCCACGCC